rnacentral:misc_RNA from 1 species
AUGAAGAACGUAUCGAAAUGCGAUAAGUAGUGUGAAUUGCAGAAUUCAGUGAAUCAUCGAAUCUUUGAACGCACAUUGCGCCCCAUGGUAUUCCGUGGGGCAUGCCUGUUCGAGCGUCAUUUACCCCCUCAAGCUCCGCUUGGUGUUGGGCGUCUGUCCCGCUUCGCGCGCGGACUCGCCCCAAAGGUAUUGGCAGCGGUCGUGCCAGCUUCUCGCGCAGCACAUUGCGCUUCUCGAGGCACCGGUGGGCCCGCGUCCAUCAAGCUCACCCCCCCAGUUUGACCUCGGAUCAGGUAGGGAUACCCGCUGAACUUAAGCAUAUCAAUAAGCGGAGGA